AUCUUCUUCUUCAGCCGGAUGGCCUCGUUCCUGCUGCGGGCUUCAGAAUCCAGGGUGGACUGCAGGGAAUCUAUGGCACGCUGCUGGUUCCUCCUGGGAAGGACAUGGAGGAUGAACAGAAUGAUUUUCCUCUCUGUUCAGGGAUGUAGAAGUACUUGCAGAACUUUCUGAAAGUAUCUCCCUUCCAGAAAUAGUGUAUUUCUGACUGACAUAGGUAGCACACAUACUACACACACACAACACACAGUUUCCAGAGCCUCACUGCUGUCCACCUGGCUGGUGUGCUUCACACCCUCAGCUAACUCCUGAUCUGUCAGCAUCUCUAGCAUCCUUCUUCUGUGUUUUCUUUGCAGUACUGGAGCAAGGAGCACUCUCAGAACUCUUGUAAACACAAGCAAGUACAGAUUUGAAUCUGUAAGAAGCACUUCCAGCCUAACAGUCACUUAAUAAAAUAUUUACUGAAUAAUUUCCUACAAUUAUUUACAUCUCAGCCUUUUGCUGAAGGCUUUAGUGGAGAGGAUUAAUCACAUUGAAGGUCAUCUAGAACUUGCUGAUGAGAUUCCUGCAAGGACUUUUUCUCCUUUAAGUCAGCUCAGAAUUCAUCUCUUCCUCAUCCUCAACCCUCUCUGUCAGUUCCUUGACUUUGGCUUCCAGCUGAAUCUUGGAUUUAAUC